UACGUAUGGUGCAAGCGUUAUCCGGAUUUACUGGGUGUAAAGGGAGCGUAGGCGGCGCGUUAAGUCUGAUGUGAAAGCCUUCGGCUUAACCGGAGUAGUGCAUUGGAAACUGGGAGACUUGAGUGCAGAAGAGGAGAGUGGAACUCCAUGUGUAGCGGUGAAAUGCGUAGAUAUAUGGAAGAACACCAGUGGCGAAAGCGGCUCUCUGGUCUGUAACUGACGCUGAGGUUCGAAAGCGUGGGUAGCAAACAGG
rnacentral:rRNA from 1 species